rnacentral:rRNA from 1 species
GAUCUCCCCGUGCAGAAGCGGUGAUAAUACCAUAAGACGAGAAGACCCUAUGGAGCUUUAGACGUCAGAGCAGCCCAUGUAAAGCACCCCUUAACAAAGGAAAAAACCAAAUGAAGCCUGCCCUAAUGUCUUUGGUUGGGGCGACCGCGGGGAAAUACAAAACCCCCAUGUGGAGUAGGAAUACACAUUCCUAAACCCAAGAGCUCCCGCUCUAAUGAACAGAAAUUCUGACCAAUAAGAUCCGGCACACGCCGAUCAACGGACCGAGUUACCCUAGGGAUAACAGCGCAAUCCCCUUAAAGAGCCCUUAUCGACAAGGGGGUUUACGACCUCGAUGUUGGAUCAGGACAUCCUAAUGGUGCAGCCGCUAUUAAGGGUUCGUUUGUUCGACGAUUGAUGACCG